ACGAACGCUGGCGGCGUGCUUAACACAUGCCAGUCGCACGAAGAGCGAUGGAAGCUUGCUUCUAUCAAUCUUAGUGGCGAACGGGUGAGUAACGCGUAAUCAACCUGCCCUUCAGAGGGGGACAACAGUUGGAAACGACUGCUAAUACCGCAUACGAUCUAAUCUCGGCAUCGAGGAUAGAUGAAAGGUGGCCUCUACAUGUAAGCUAUCACUGAAGGAGGGGAUUGCGUCUGAUUAGCUAGUUGGAGGGGUAACGGCCCACCAAGGCGAUGAUCAGUAGCCGGUCUGAGAGGAUGAACGGCCACAUUGGGACUGAGACACGGCCCAGACUCCUACGGGAGGCAGCAGUGGGGAAUCUUCCGCAAUGGACGAAAGUCUGACGGAGCAACGCCGCGUGAGCGAUGACGGCCUUCGGGUUGUAAAGCUCUGUUAAUCGGGACGAAAGGCCUUCUUGCGAAUAGUGAGAAGGAUUGACGGUACCGGAAUAGAAAGCCACGGCUAACUACGUG
rnacentral:rRNA from 1 species